GGGGACUUGAGGUUUAUUUUUCUAGUAGUGUGGAUUGAUUGAAUUUGACUUGAUUUUAUGUUCAUUUUUAUUUUUAUUCCAAUAAAUGUUUUCUAGGGUUUUGUGCCUAACGUUUGCAGACUGCAGUUUAAACAAGAACUUGAUUAUAUGGGCACUCAAUUCUACCAAAAGGAUUUCAACCACUGUGGGGAUAUAUUUUCAAAUAUAUAUCGAAACCACUUAGGGCAUCAGUCCUCCUCA
rnacentral:lncRNA from 1 species